AAUUCGAAGCAACGCGAAGAACCUUACCAGGUCUUGACAUCCCGAUGCUAUUUCUAGAGAUGAAAGUUACUUCGGUACAUCGGUGACAGGUGGUGCAUGGUUGUCGUCAGCUCGUGUCGUGAGAUGUUGGGUUAAGUCCCGCAACGAGCGCAACCCCUAUUGUUAGUUGCCAUCAUUCAGUUUGGGCACUCUAGCGAGACUGCCGGUAAUAAACCGGAGGAAGUGGGAUGACGUCAAAUCAUCAUGCCCCUUAUGACCUGGGCUACACACGUGCUACAAUGGUUGGUACAACGAGUUGCGAGUCGGUGACGGCGAGCUAAUCUCUUAAAGCCAAUCUCAGUUCGGAUUGUAGGCUGCAACUCGCCUACAUGAAGUCGGAAUCGCUAGUAAUCGCGGAUCAGCACGCCCGCGGUCGAAUACGUUCCCGGGCCUU
rnacentral:rRNA from 1 species